CUGGCUCAGGAUGAACGCUAGCUACAGGCUUAACACAUGCAAGUCGAGGGGUAGCAGGGUAGCAAUACCGCUGACGACCGGCGCACGGGUGAGUAACACGUAUCCAACCUUCCCAUAACUCAGGGAUAGCCUUUCGAAAGAAAGAUUAAUACCUGAUAGUACUUUUUCAAGGCAUCUUGAGAAAGUUAAAGAUUUAUUGGUUAUGGAUGGGGAUGCGUUCCAUUAGAUAGUUGGUGAGGUAACGGCUCACCAAGUCUUCGAUGGAUAGGGGUUCUGAGAGGAAGGUCCCCCACAUUGGUACUGAGACACGGACCAAACUCCUACGGGAGGCAGCAGUGAGGAAUAUUGGUCAAUGGGCGAGAGCCUGAACCAGCCAAGUAGCGUGAAGGAAUGAAGGUCCUAUGGAUUGUAAACUUCUUUUAUAGUAGAAUAAAGUGAUCCACGUGUGGAUUUUUGUAUGUAUACUAUGAAUAAGGAUCGGCUAACUCCGUGCCAGCCGCGGC
rnacentral:rRNA from 1 species